CUGGCCCUGGUCGGUGUCCGCGCUGUAGAAGGUCAGCAUCUGCUUGGUGAUCAGGGAUGGGUUGGACACCAUCUGAGGAGAACAGGGAAGAACAAGGGCCGGCAGGGCUGGGUGGGGAGAGAGGACGACCUCCGCCCCGCCGCGCCGGGACCCUCGCCCCUCCCAUGCAGGUCAGGCCCCUCCCCAGGCCUCGCCGGGCUCACGUAGUCACGGUGGGUGUAGGACGUGAUGCAGGAGGCGCACUCGAAGAUGUAGACGAUGAGCAUGAGCACCAGUGUCCCCAUCCCCCAACCCCUGGAGUCUCACCGUGAGGACCAUGGACCGGCGGCGGCAGAGUGCGGCACCCACACCAAAACUGGCUACCAUGAAGAAGGAGAAGCCGCAGAAGAUGGCAAUCCAGGCACCAGCGAAGACGUCAUCCUUGCCUGAGACUCCCAUCAGUGGGUAUACACGGUACUGGUCGGCUGUCACCCAUAUGGUCUCAGCAAACAGGGACAGGCCUGACAGCUGGACAGAGCGGUGGGUUAGGAAGGUCUGCUCGGGGCCAGCAGCCCUGGCACCAGGCAUCUCCACGAGCAAGUUCCCUCCCC
rnacentral:lncRNA from 1 species